rnacentral:SRP_RNA from 1 species
UGGUGGGCUAGACCGGCGCACUAGUCCUGCGUUGUAACCGUAAAUGGGCUAUAUGACGGGGUCGAAGACCUGAGAGAGGUAUAAGCCCAGACUAUCAGUCUUGGCUCGUACAAUGACUUUCUGUCCUGUAGGAUCUACCUCAGCAGUAAUCGUGUCAGGACAGGAAUGUAGCAGCACUACCUGUUGUGGUGGGUGCUUACAGGGUAGCGGAAAUGAGGAAAAGUCAAGGUCGCUGAUGGCCUGUGUUUAUAUCCAUCUUUGGUUGUGCCCACCA